UACUCCCCUUCGGACUGUCCACAGCCCCCCGUGUCUUUUCCAAGCUCCUAGCUGUAGUCACUGCCUACCUCAGGAAACAAGGGGUCAUAGUAUUCCCUUACCUCGACGAUUGCCUCCUCAAAGCUUCAACAUUCGACGAGGCUCUCCGGUUCACGCGGCUCACCGUCGAUUGUUUCCUAUCUCUCGGCCUACAAAUAAACAAAAACAAAUCCACAUUACGCCCCACCCAGCACCUGCAGUUCAUAGGAGCAGACCUCGACUCCCGGACGGGGUUGGCAUCUCUCCCACCCGAUCGCUUCAACUCCAUAAGCCAACUGGCCACAAUCAUUCGCAACAGUCCCCAGGUGACUGCCCGAGACUGCCUACAACUACUAGGUCACAUGGCCUUGUGCACUUUUGUCGUCCAGAAUGCACGCCUCUACAUGAGGUGCUUCCAAGUGUGGCUGGCCACGGUUUACAGACCGAAUAUGCACUCUUUAAACAAGACUCUCUCCCUACCUGUCCGAGUCAAAGAUUCUCUACACUGGUGGACCGUUCACUCCAACCUCUGCUCUGGAGUCCUGUUUCUUCAGCAGGCUCCAUCACUCAUCCUGACCACCGAUGCAUCUCUGACAGGCUGGGGUGCACACAUGUCUCACCACACAGUACAGGGGCUAUGGUCGUCAACCGAGACCUCCCUGCACAUAAAUGUCCUAGAAUUUCGAGCUAUUCGCAAUGCGUGCCGUCACUUCCUGCCACUAAUCAAGCAUCAUCACGAACGCAUAAUGACAGACAACAUUGCAUGCAUGUUUUAUGUAAACAGGCAGGGAGGAGCUCGAUCCCAUUCGCUGCGCACAGAGGCUAUGAAGCUCUGGAAUUGGUGCAUUGCGAACAACAUCCGGGUAUCAGCUGCCUAUCUUCCCGGGGUAAUGAACACCACAGCGGACGAACUGAGCAGACGCUUCCCAUGGGACCACGAGUGGGAGAUAGACGAGAAAACCAUUCACAACGUAUUUAGCACUUGGGGUUACCCAACAGUAGAUCUUUUUGCAACUACAAAAAACAAGAAAUGUCCCAAUUCCUGCUCCAGAGCAGGACUGGGCAAACAUUCCCUGGGGGACGCAUUCAUGAUCUCAUGGCACCGAAACCUACAGUAUGCUUUUCCUCCGAUACCAGUUCUCAACAGGGUCCUGAUAAAAAUACGAACGGACCGAGCCAAGGUGAUCCUCAUUGCCCCGUCGUGGCCCAGACAACCGUGGUUUCCGUUCCUCACCAGAAUGUCGAUUCAGCCACCAAUCUCCUUGCCUCUCAUUCCAAACCUCCUAUCUCAACAACACGGCCGCUUUCUCCAUCCCAACCUGUCCAUGCUUCACCUCAAAGCCUGGUUC
rnacentral:lncRNA from 1 species